rnacentral:rRNA from 1 species
UACGAACCGGGCAAACGUUAUUCGGAAUUACUGGGCUUAAAGGGUGCGUAGGCGGCGCUGUAAGUCGGGUGUGAAAUCCCACGGCUCAACCGUGGAAUUGCGCCCGAUACUGCAGUGCUUGAGGAAGAUAGAGGUGAGCGGAACGAAUGGUGGAGCGGUGAAAUGCGUUGAUAUCAUUCGGAACACCCGUGGCGAAAGCGGCUCACUGGGUCUUUUCUGACGCUGAUGCACGAAAGCUAGGGGAGCGAACGGG